CCCUUAGAUGUUCUGGGCCGCACGCGCGCUACACUGAACAGUUCAACAAGUCUUAACCUUGGCCGAUAGGUCUGGGUAAUCUUUGAACGCUGUUCGUGAUUGGGAUAGACCUUUGCAAUUAUGGGUCUUCAACGAGGAAUUCCUAGUAAACGCAAGUCAUCAGCUUGCAUUGAUUACGUCCCUGCCCUUUGUACACACCGCCCGUCGCACCUACCGAUUGAAUGGUCCGGUGAAAUCUCGGGACGGCGGCUUGGUCGCUUGCGUCCGACUGCUGAAACUUGAUUAAACCAUAUCAUUUAGAGGGAGGUGAANUCGUANCA
rnacentral:rRNA from 1 species